CCCCUCGUAACCCCAGAACCGGGAUCCAUUUCCUGGGCUCGGCAGCGUGGCGCCCAGGACUGGCCCGGGUCUCCGAGCAUCUGCUCCCGGGAUUCUAGUCGCCUCUUCUCUUUCGUCGGGAGCCUCCUCAUCUCCAGAAUGAUCUCUUACUUGGAAUGAGGAGCAUAACCACCUCUCAGAGGAAAAAAUGGUUAUUGGAGAAAACUUUGGCUCUCAGGCUGGACCAUGACGUCACAUGGUGGAGGCUGUUUUUGUGAAGAAAAAAAAA